rnacentral:rRNA from 1 species
UAGCCGGUGCUUCUUCUGCGAGUANCGUCAAUUGCUGNGGUUAUUAACCACAACGCCUUCCUCCUCNCUGAAAGUACUUUACAACCCGAAGGCCUUCUUCAUACACGCGGCAUGGCUGCAUCAGGCUUGCGCCCAUUGUGCAAUAUUCCCCACUGCUGCCUCCCGUAGGAGU